UGAGUAGAUGCACUGUGGACCUCACAGGCUGUGUGUAAAGAAGGACGGAAAGCCUGUCUUCGCUUCAGAGUCUAACAUCCGCUCUGUAUAGGGGAUUCUUACUACCGCACCUUCGUCAGCAGUAACACUUUGCCGUGAUUGUGGCUAGUACAUGUCCAUACUGUCUUGUUGCUUUUGCAGAUCAAUAGUCAGCAGAGGAACCUGCCCCUAGCCCUGGCCCGCCGGCUCUCUGCCUUUAAACCCUAGCAGCUCCAGCGUUGUCUUGGAAACAGACUUUGGCCUGAUGCUGCGGUAUGACUGGCAUCACAACCUUGAAUUGGAAGUGGCACCGGAGCUGUCUGGUUCACUGUGUGUUCUCUGUGGAAACUACAGCCACAAUGCAACUAAUGACUUUGCCACCCCUGAUGGAACUGUGGCGGCUGUGGACUUUGCGCUUCGCUGGAAAGUGGACUGCGGCGCCUCAUGUCCUGUGUGCAGUACAGGCCAAGUGAACUCUAAACCUGCAUUGGGUUCGGUUUCAGGCUGCUGCAGAGCCACGUCCAUGUUGUUCCUGAACAGGACGUCUGCAGCUGCAAGGCUGACCAAUGUGCUGCUGAUGGAGCUCCUUCUGCUGUCUGUAGGUCGAGGCAGGCCUACUCUGACAUAUGUCAGAGGCCGGCUACCUCCCAGUGCAAGGAGGGCUAUCUGCUCAGUGGCAGCCAUUGUGUCCCAGACAGCAGGUGUGGCUGCAGCCAUCAAGGUCUCUACUACCUCCCCAAGGAGAUGUUCUGGAUGGACCGCCAGUGUCGGAAGCAGUGCACCUGCCAGCCUUCCUCCAAGAAUGUCACCUGUGUCCAGGCCCAGUGUCAGGAGGACAAGGUGUGCAAGAUUCUGGCUGGGCUACCAUAAGGAAGGGCUUAGGGUGUGCACAGCUCAAGGGGAUCGGCAUUACACAAUUUUGACGGGAACAGGUGUGUCUUCCAAGGCACCAGCUGGUGAGGCACUUCCCUAGCUCGGGAGACCUGCCUGGUUUCAGUGUGGUGACGCAGAACAUGAGGAGGACGACACCAACACUUCUUAUUCCAGAAGGGUCAAUAUUUUGGUCCAUGGUUACUCUAUUGAGAUCUCUCAUUACUAGGAUGAAGUAGUUGUGGUGAAUGGGAUUAUUUUGACCCUUCCCUCACUGUUGAGCCAAGGUAAAGUGAAGAGCUGUCCACGUGUAUUGAGACUGACUUUGGUGUCCUGGUCACAUACAACUGGAACCUCCUGACUGUCCAAGUGCCCAGGGUCGUCUCUGGCUCACUCUAUGGCCUGUGUGGGAACUUCAACGCGGACCCAGAGGACUAUCUAACAGACGACGGGGACAUCUAUGGCUGUGAGGCGCUGGAAAACUAGUAACGUUGUUGAAUGUGUGGAUGUGACGACUGUGAACAAUCCCCAAUGCCCCAUCAGGAGCAGGCUCUCUAUUUAGGCAGGGACUACUGAGGGAGUGUUCCAGAACUGCCACGGGAUUGUCAACCCCAAACGCUGCCUUUGACAACUGUCUACGACCUCUGUUACAACAAUGACAAGCAGACUGCCCUGUGUCAGAUUCUCUCAAGUUACACCGCUGCUUGCCAGGAGGAAGGGGCAAACGUAGAUGAAUGGAGGCUUCAGAUUAUUGUGGUCUGUACUGUCCAGCCAACAUUGAAUACAACCUGUGCCCAACAAUUGUGUGGCGUCUCGUGUAAACCUGGGUUCUUCCAUAAUGGUGGGAAGUGUGUCCCCAACACUGAGUGUGGCUGCCUCUGACGGUUUGUGCCACAAGAUCAAGGCAGUGUUUUACCCCCAUGAUCACUGCCAGGUUGCUUCUCUUGUCGGUCAUGGCUAGCUGCCAUGCACUGACACCACCUGUGACUCAGAUGGUCCGUGACGUUUUCCUGAGUGUAACUGGACCUUGGCGGCUGAGUUCAAGUUGGAGCAUUUCUGUGGUGUCCUCUCAGCUCCUGCUGGCCUAUUCAGAGACUGCCACGCCACGGUAGACCCACAACCUUUAUUGGACAACUGUGUAAAGGCCCCUGUGUGUGUCUUGAACGGAUAUGGCAAAGUACUGUGGAAGCCUGAAGGAUUAUUGGGGCGGCAGGGUAGCCUAGUGUUUAGAGCGUUGGACUAGUAACCGAAAGGUUGCAAGUUCGAAUCCCCGAGCUGACUAGGUACAAAUCUGUCGUUCUGCCCCUGAACAGGCAGUUAACCCACUGUUCCUAAGCCGUCAUUGAAAAUAAGAAUUUGUUCUUAACUGACUUGCCUAGUUAAAUAAAGGUAGAAAAAUUUAAAAAAUCUAUGUUUGUAUUUUAUGAAGCCACAGCCAAGGUCUAGCCAUGGAGGGGAGAUGAAUGCUGUAAGUGGAUGA